GGAUAAUGAUGAUUGCCUAGGUCCGUGUUUCUGAACAAUACUGAUAACACUUAUGGCAGAUUCUGAAAUC